UAGAGAAGAAGAAGAUCUACACUUUUCCCUUCAGCUGGCAGCGCAACCGGGAUCUUCUUCUUUUUCUUUUUCUUCUUCUUCUUCCUUUCUUCCUUUCUUCCUUUUCUUUCCUCUCCUUUUUCUUCCUCUCUGUUGCCGUCUGAGAACCCCCUCUCUCUUUCUUUCUCUGCUUCAUUCUGUGAGCCAGCUCAACCCCAUUUAAGUCCCACCAGAAUACUAUUC
rnacentral:lncRNA from 1 species